GAGGUUAUAGCUCAGUGGUACAGCACAUGCUUAGCACGCAAGAGGUCCAGGGUUCAACCCCCAGUACCUCU
rnacentral:tRNA from 1 species